rfam:Geomyces destructans 20631-21 mitochondrion, whole genome shotgun sequence.
AUAUAUUUGAGUUUGAUGAUGGCUCUGAAUGAACGCUGUCCAAAUGCUUGACACAUGCUAAUCGUACGUUUAAUAUAAUAUAAUAGUCUUCAGGUUAAGCCUGGAAAACUAUUUAUUUAAUUAAAAGUGGUGUACAGGUGAGUAUAUGAUAUUUUGGCUACCUUAAAGUAAGGCUAAUAAAUACCUUAUAAAGAAAGGAAGUAAAUUUCCGCUUUAAGAUGACAAUAAAUAUCUCGGAUAGGUAGUAGUUAAGGUAAUGGCUUAACUAGCUUAAAAUUCCGUAAUCGAGGCUGAGAGGUCCAUCGGUCACAUUGGGUCUGAAAAAAGCCCAAUACGUAUAGUACAGCAGUGGGGAAUAUUGGUCAAUAGCCUAAAGGCUGAACCAGCAAUUUGGAAGAACGUAAAGCUUCGGCUUGUGAAACCUAAAAAUAAAGGUAAGCAUCGACUAUGUCGAAUAAAGUUCUAGAUAUAAUAUUGAUUAUGACAAAUUUUUAUCUAUUUGUCUUGACCAAAAUACGUGCCAGCAGUCGCGGUAAUACGUAAAAGACAAGUGUUAUUCAUCUUUAAUAGGUUUAAAGGGUACCUAGACGGUAUUAUUAGCCCAAAAAAGGGUACGAUAGUACUAGAGUUUUAUAGGAGAAGGAGGUAUUUAUGGUGGAGAGUUUAUAUUUAAUUAUACCUUAGAGACUGGUAAAGGCGAAAGCAACCUUCUAUCUAAUAACUGACGUUGAGGUACGAAGGCCUGGGUAGCAAACAGGAUUAGAUACCCUAGUAGUCCAGGCAGAGAAUUCUAAAUGCCAUAUGCUAGAUUAAUUUAGCAUAUAAAUGAAAGUGUAAGCAUUUCACCUUAAGAGUAAUGCGGCAACGCAGAAACUGAAAUCAUUAGGCCGUUUCUGAAAUCAGUAGUGAAGUAUGUUAUUUAAUUCGAUAAUCCACGAAAAACCUCACCACGAUUUGCAUAUUAUUUUUAAUCUUAAUUGGUUAAAAUUAUUACAAGCGUUGCACGGCUGUCUUCAGUUAAUGUCGUGAGAUUUUGGUUAGUUCCAUAAAAUUAACGUAAACCCUUGCUUUAUUUUUAAAUAGUAUUUUAUAGAGCAGUUCGCCAUUAUAUUGGUUGAUAUAUGGGACCAAGACAAGUCAUCAUGACCUUAAUGUUGUGGGCUAUAGACGUGCCACAUAACCCUAUACAAAGAGAUGCGAAAAUGUGAAUUUAAGCUAAUCUCAAAAGUAGGAUAUAAUACGGAUUGUAGUCUGUAACUCGACUACAUGAAGAAGGAAUUACUAGUAAUCGUGAAUCACCAUGUCACGGUGAAUUUUUUCUCGGAUAGGUACUUACUACUCGUCGCGCGCUGAAAGAAGUUUAUGCAAUAAGUUUGGUCAACUAUUUAUUUUUAAUUAAGAUAAUACGUUCUUUAUAUAUAUUUAGUUAAUUUUCGUAUGUGUUACUUCGAUUGGUGUUAAGUCGAAAUACGGUUCGUGUAGUGGAAAUUGCACGGGGCUAAUUAAAGUA